GAUGAACGCUGGCGGCGUGCCUAAUAUAUGCAAGUCGAGCGAACAGAUGAGGAGCUUGCUCCUCUGACGUUAGCGGCGGACGGGUGAGUAACACGUGGAUAACCUACCUAUAAGACUGGGAUAACUUCGGGAAACCGGAGCUAAUACCGGAUAAUAUAUUGAACCGCAUGGUUCAAUAGUGAAAGACGGUUUUGCUGUCACUUAUAGAUGGAUCCGCGGCGCAUUAGCUAGUUGGUAAGGUAACGGCUUACCAAGGCAACGAUGCGUAGCCGACCUGAGAGGGUGAUCGGCCACACUGGAACUGAGACACGGUCCAGACUCCUACGGGAGGCAGCAGUAGGGAAUCUUCCGCAAUGGGCGAAAGCCUGACGGAGCAACGCCGCGUGAGUGAUGAAGGUCUUCGGAUCGUAAAACUCUGUUAUUAGGGAAGAACAAAUGUGUAAGUAACUAUGCACGUCUUGACGGUACCUAAUCAGAAAGCCACGGCUAACUACGUG
rnacentral:rRNA from 1 species